rnacentral:rRNA from 1 species
AGCGAACGCUGGCGGCAGGCCUAACACAUGCAAGUCGAACGAACCUUUCGGGGUUAUUGGCGGACGGGUGAGUAACACGUGGGAACGUGCCUUUAGGUUCGGCAUAACUCAGGGAAACUUGUGCUAAUACCGAAUGUGCCCUUCGGGGGGAAGAUUAAUCGACUUUAGAGCGGCACGAGUCUGAUUAGCUAGUUGGUUGAGGUAAUGGCUCACCAAGGCGACAAUCAGUAGCUGGUCAGAGAGAAUGAUCAGCCACAUUGGGACUGAGACACGGCCCAAACUCCUACGGGAGGCAGCAGUGGGUAAUCUUGCGCCAUGGGCGAAAGCCUGACGCAGCCAUGCCGCGUGAAUGAUGAAGGUCUUAGGAUUGUAAAAUUCUUUCAACGGGGACGAUAAUGACGGUACCCGGAGAAGAAGCCCCGGCUAACUUCGUG